ncrna:unclassified sequences MISL RNA
GGAUAAGCUUGGUUUACCAAGCGAAAGGUCGAAUUCUACUGGAGGAUUCCGCUCCUUUGCGCUUUUUUUUCGGAUUAGGCGUGGAGGCGAAAGUCACCCUCCUCGCAUCGCAAGUUCGUGCUUGCGACUUACACGUAGGGCGAGGGGUGGGCGAAAGUUGCCAUGAGACCGUAACUUUCGUAGUCAUUGAUAAAGGGGCAGGUCUCGCUCUUUUGUCAUUGCGGUUGCCUAGAGGCAUGGUCGUUUACCGCGACUUUCCAGUGAAUGGAUCAACCUGUUGAUGCAGGUAGUGUGUAUCAUGCGAAUCGUUCUGCGAUUCGUAACUGCAGGUUGCUCCGGUUGAUCGAUAGAUUGUAAGGUUUGUCGGUCGUUUUAAUCGUGUCUUACAACACGAUGAUGUUACCCCAUAAUGACCUGAGAGGUAUGAGGCGAUACCCGUAUUGAUUGUUGAGCGAAGCCGGCUUGCCGGUGGAGUGAUGCUUUCAGAGUGGCUAGUGCACCAGACGGUAACCGAUGCACUGCCGAGUAGCGAAAGUCGUUCCUUUUGGAAUGGCCUAGUUGCCCAGAAGCCUCCCCUCAAAAUCGUUUCAGUCCAAAAUUGAUUCGGCGGCCCUGUCAUGAGGCCGAAACGAAGGCACGUACCCCUUCGAAUGGCGUCGGGGAGUCAGCGGCUAUAUAUGCGCCUAAUGCUGGCAUCCGGGAACGAGCGUGUGGCGAGCGCC